rnacentral:lncRNA from 1 species
CAGCCUCGGCUGGACUACUUCCUCCCCAGAGGCCCUUCACCGCCUCCCCAUCCAGACCCAAGGUUCCCUAGUGGUCCGGACGGUUUCCUUGGCAUCGCUGGCACCAGGCCCACCACAGCUGCCAAACAUGAGCUGAUGGGACAGCCCUCGUGGUCUCCACCCACUGCCCUGGUGGAGAAGUGAAACAUGAACCCAUCAGUGCAAGACAGAGGAAGAGGCACCCAGCGAAGAGCAAGCGAUGUGGAAUUCUAAGGCCAAAGUCACCCUGAUUGUAUGGUGUGGAUUAGUCAAGAACCCAAGAUGACCCAAGGAUUUGAGAUUCCAACCUCCCGCAGGCAAGCAGAAGUGCUCCCUCCUACAUAGGGCCGCCCUCCUUCCUGAGAAACUGGGCUGAUUUGUGGAAGAAACAGCUG